AUGAUGGAUCAUGCAGCGUCUGGAAGAAAAUUCCACUACAGCAGAUGUUUAUCUGACAACGCUGUUAAUAAAUUUAAGAAAAUGAUUCCAUCUUUAUUUGCAUCUAUGCCAAGUAUAAACAUAGUGGAGGGCAGCUGCCUUAAUCCUACUCCCUACCAAAUUGAUCAUGUUGUUGAUAGCGCUGUAACCUCACUGCAUGAAGCGCUUGAUUCUGUAGCCCCUCUGAAAAAGAAGUUAGUGAUUCAGAGAAGACUAGCCCCAUGGUAUAAUUUACAUGUUCGUACCUUAAAGCAGGCAUCACGAAGGCUGGAAAGGAAGUGGCGUUCCACAAACUUAGAGGAAAUUUUUCUAGCCUGGAAAAACAGUCUACUAACAUAUAAAAAAGCUCUCCGUAAAGCCAGAACUGCAUACUAUUCAUCACUAAUAGAGGAAAAUAAGAACAAUCCCAGGUUUCUUUUCAGCACUGUAGCCAGGCUGACAAAAAGUCACAGCUCCGUUGAGCCCAGUGUUCCCUUAGCUCUCAGCAGUGAUGAAUUUAUGAGUUUCUUUACAAAUAAAAUCACAACUAUUAGAGAUAAAAUUCAGCAGAUGCUUCCUAUACCUGCAAUAAAUGAAUCUUCUACUACAGUAGCUCUUGAAUCAUCUGUAGGACCUCAGUUAUGUUUAGACUGCUUCUCUCCUAUAGAUCUCUCUGAAUUUACAUCAGUAGUUGCUUCAUCGAAAUCAUCAACGUGUCUCUUGGACCCCAUCCCGACUAGACUGCUUAAAGACACCCUGCCAUUAAUGAACUCAUCUUUAUUGGACUUGGUAAAUUUAUCUCUAGUAUCAGGCUACGUACCACAGGCCUUUAAGACUGCAGUAAUCAAACCUUUACUCAAAAAGCCUAGUCUUGAUCCAGGAGUCUUGGCUAAUUAUAGACCAAUAUCCAACCUGCCAUUUAUUUCUAAAAUCCUAGAAAAAGCUGUUGCUAAGCAGCUAUCAGACCACUUACACAGGAAUGAACUAUUUGAAGAUUUCCAAUCAGGAUUUAGAGCACAUCAUAGUACAGAAACAGCACUGUUGAAAGUUACCAACGAUCUUCUCUUAGCCUCAGAUAAUGGACUUGUUUCGAUACUUGUCCUCCUAGACCUUAGUGCAGCAUUCGACACCAUUGACCACAACAUCUUAUUACAGAGACUGGAGCAUGUGAUUGGUAUCAGAGGAACAGCGUUAAAGUGGUUCCAAUCCUAUUUAUCGGACAGAUUCCAGUUUGUUGUAUGUCCAUGA
rnacentral:lncRNA from 1 species